UUUGGCCAUGCUUCUAAAUAUUAAAUAAUAAAAUCGGAGCAAGAGGAAUGUUGAAGACAUUUUAUUGCUGGCAAAGGCUCGGCAAUUCUAUCUCCGCAUUGGGGCCUGGCCAUUGACAGCACACACAAUCAAUUUCCGAGUUGCACUGAGAAGUUGCUCGAUUGCUAAUUGCUGCUGGCUAGUCUGAAGGGGCCGCGUGAAGGAGGGCAGCUCUCUGAGGCGGAAGCUUGAAAACUGCAGCUCUGAGGAGGAGCUUUGUCCUUAAAGGCGGAGCUAGGCCCAACAAUGCGUUUUACACAGCUGAUUGGUUGCCAUGGGAGAUGGAAGGAUUUCUCAAACAAGCAUGAAAGAAUCGAGGCGACACUCCAGGACUUGUUGUAGUUGAAUCACCCAACCCUGCCAAGAGCGACACGUCUUAUGGAGGCCAGAGCCGCGUCCUGUUCCAGUGAAACAUCAUUUUUGGGGUCAGGCACAAAUGGGGUGACACAAAUGUUUGGAACUCAAUUCGGUGUCCAAAUAAGGACAGAAAAUACCAAAGUGCUCGUGUGUGCCACAGUUCGCCUGGUGUGUUUGACCUUUGGCGUACAACAGCGACUGAAGAAAAAUCA